CUGCUAUCACUCUUGGAUGGACCUGCGGUGCAUUAGCUAGUUGGUAGGUAACGGCCUACCAAGGCGAUGAUGCAUAGCCGAGUUGAGAGACUGAUCGGCCACAUUUGGGACUGAGACACGGCCCAAACUCCUACGGGAGGCAGCAGUAGGGAAUCUUCCACAAUGGACGCAAGUCUGAUGGAGCAACGCCGCGUGAGUGAAGAAGGGUUUUCGGCUCGUAAAGCUCUGUUGUUGGUGAAGAAGGACAGGGGUAGUAACUGACCUUUGUUUGACGGUAAUCAAUUAGAAAGUCACGGCUAACUACGUGCCAGCAGCCGCGGUAAAU
rnacentral:rRNA from 1 species